rnacentral:rRNA from 1 species
CCCUUAGAUGUUCUGGGCGGCCCGCGCACUACAAUGGCGCUUUCAGCGAGUUCCUAUGUUGAAUUUUCCUGGGUAUUCUUGGAAGCGGCGUCUUGACUUGGGAUAGAUCCUUGUAAUUGUUGGUUUUGAACGAGGAAUUCCUUGUAAUCGCGGUUGAUCAGCUCGCGUUGAUACGUCCCUGCCCUUUGUACACACCGCCCGUCGCUCCUACCGAUGAAUCGUCCGGUGAAGUUCACAGAGUGGCGGUUCGUGGAGUUGCUCGCGAAGUGAAAUGGACCUCACGAUUUAGAGGAAGGAGAAGUCGUAACA